GACGAACGCUGGCGGCGUGCCUAAUACAUGCAAGUCGAGCGCAGGAAAUCGACGGAACCCUUCGGGGGGAAGUCGACGGAAUGAGCGGCGGACGGGUGAGUAACACGUAAAGAACCUGCCCUCAGGUCUGGGAUAACCACGAGAAAUCGGGGCUAAUACCGGAUGGGUCAUCGGACCGCAUGGUCCGAGGAUGAAAGGCGCUUCGGCGUCGCCUGGGGAUGGCUUUGCGGUGCAUUAGCUAGUUGGUGGGGUAAUGGCCCACCAAGGCGACGGUGCGCAGCCGACCUGAGAGGGUGAUCGGCCACACUGGGACUGAGACACGGCCCAGAAUCCUACGGGAGGCAGCAGUAGGGAAUCUUCCACAAUGGACGAAAGCCUGAUGGAGCAACGCCGCGUGAACGAUGAAGGCCUUCGGGUCGUAAAGUUCUGUUGUAAGGGAAGAACAAGUGCCGCAGGCAAUGGCGGCACCUUGACGGUACCUUGCGAGAAAGCCACGGCUAACUACGUGCCAGCCGCCGCAGUAA
rnacentral:rRNA from 1 species